UAAAGAGCUCGUAGGCGGUUUGUCGCGUCUGCCGUGAAAGUCCGGGGCUCAACUCCGGAUCUGCGGUGGGUACGGGCAGACUAGAGUGAAGUAGGGGAGACUGGAAUUCCUGGUGUAGCGGUGAAAUGCGCAGAUAUCAGGAGGAACACCGAUGGCGAAGGCAGGUCUCUGGGCUGUAACUGACGCUGAGGAGCGAAAGCAUGGGGAGCGAACAGGAUUAGAUACCCUGGUAGUCCAUGCCGUAAACGUUGGGCACUAGGUGUGGGGGACAUUCCACGUUUUCCGCGCCGUAGCUAACGCAUUAAGUGCCCCGCCUGGGGAGUACGGCCGCAAGGCUAAAACUCAAAGGAAUUGACGGGGGCCCGCACAAGCGGCGGAGCAUGCGGAUUAAUUCGAUGCAACGCGAAGAACCUUACCAAGGCUUGACAUGAACCGGUAAGACCCAGAGACAUGUCAGCCACUUGUGGUCGGUUUACAGGUGGUGCAUGGUUGUCGUCAGCUCGUGUCGUGAGAUGUUGGGUUAAGUCCCGCAACGAGCGCAACCCUCGUUCUAUGUUGCCAGCAGAUUAUGCCGGGGACUCAUAGGAGACUGCCGGGGUCAACUCGGAGGAAGGUGGGGACGACGUCAAAUCAUCAUGCCCCUUAUGUCUUGGGCUUCACGCAUGCUACAAUGGCCGGUACAAAGGGUUGCGAUACUGUGAGGUGGAGCUAAUCCCAAAAAGCCGGUCUCAGUUCGGAUUGAGGUCUGCAACUCGACCUCAUGAAGUUGGAGUC
rnacentral:rRNA from 1 species